UACAGAGGGCGCGAGCGUUGUCCGGAAUCACUGGGCGUAAAGGGCGCGUAGGUGGCCACUAUAAGGCCGCGGUGAAAGUUCGGGGCUCAACCCUGAAUCUGCCGCGGCGACUGUAGGGCUAGGGCACCGUAGAGGCAGAUGGAAUUCCGGGUGUAGCGGUGGAAUGCGUAGAUAUCAGGAGGAACACCGGUGGCGAAGGCGGUUCUCUGGGCAUUACCUGACGCUGAGGAGCGAAAGUGUGGGGAGCGAACAGG
rnacentral:rRNA from 1 species